GCUGGGAUAGCAAAGUGGUUUACUGCGGUAGAUUUAGGAUCUAUUAUCAAAGGUUCGAAUCCUUUUUCUAGUU
rnacentral:tRNA from 1 species